rnacentral:rRNA from 1 species
AUACGGAGGAUCCAAGCGUUAUCCGGAUUUAUUGGGUUUAAAGGAUGCGCAGGCGGCCUUAUAAGUCAGUGGUGAAAUCUCCCGGCUCAACCGGGAAACUGCCAUUGAUACUGUAAGGCUAGAAUACAGACGAGGUAGGCGGAAUGUAGCAUGUAGCGGUGAAAUGCUUAGAUAUGCUACAGAACACCGAUCGCGAAGGCAGCUUACCAGACUGUAAUUGACGCUAAGGCACGAAAGCGUGGGGAGCGAACAGGAUUAGAAACCCUAGUAGUCC